ensembl:lncRNA
AGUAACUAUGAAAGGUCAACUGUUCUGCAACCAAGUGUAAGUGCUUUGCAAAAGUUUUACUUUAGAUGGCAGACAGGAAAAUAUUUCUACAUUUCAUUUGUUAGAAAAGGGAUCCAGAGCUGGCAUUAGUGCUGGCUUUGAUGUAUUCUGUGGUAUACAGUCCAGAGCAUGCUGCUGUAAACAGAAACGUCCCUUCACCUCUCCUCUUUGUUCUUCAACUUUGAUACUGGCCCCCUGCAGUGGCUUCUUUCUCUUCCUGGGAAGGCUUAACAAAGUCAGUUGAUAGAGGAAAAAAAGACCUACCAUUUCCUUCUCUACUUAAGACUCAAGAGAAAUAGACACAUAUAUUUUACGCAUACUGAAGCCCUUGAAAUAGUGUGGCUUUUUCUAUUGAUUCUUGAAGGGAAAUGAGCCAAGCAGAAAGAAAGAAAGAAAGAAAGAAAGAAAGAAAGAAAGAAAGAAAGAAAGAAAGAAAGAAAGAAAGAAAGAAAGGAAGAAAGGAAGAAAGAAAGAAAGAAAGAAAGAAAGAAAGAAAGAAAGAAAGAAAGAAAGAAAGAAAGAAAGAAAGAAAGAAAGAAAGCAAACAAACAUACUGUUGUGUCCACAACUUAAAAUAUGACCACAUCCAUAAAUGCAUAUGAAGAGUCCGUGAUUAGGAUGCAGGCUGAGCAGACAAGAGGAUGAUUGGAACUUAAGGAGAAAAAGAUGAGGAGGCUGUCACAAGAAUGAGAAAACAAUAGCCAGCAAGGUUGUUGUGGUGCACUGAAGUGAAGAAGUGACGAGGUUAGCAAGGUGAAACUAUGCACCUGGACCAGGGGUCAAAAAUGGACAUGGAAGUAUGGCUGGGAUUGAGGCAUUGCGCUGAUAGUACCAGGAAGAAGGUCCUUGAGUAUUAUGGUACAAUCCUUUCAAAGAAUUUCCAGAUUAUUCUGUGCUAAAAACAAACAAACAAAACCAAACAAACAAACAAAACAAAAAAAACCACAACAACUUUGAAACAAAGCGAUGAAAUGCAUGAUGCAUGCCUUAUUUCUCUACUAAUUGUUGUUUAAGAAUGCCAACCUUCUGUUGACACUCAUGAAUCCUGAGGAAGCUCUAGUAGCAGUAUGCUGUGCUGUGGAUAUCAAGCAAGCCUCUUGUCCUAUUUCUAAACCUUAGGAGAAUUCUAUAUAAAAAGGGCAGAAAUGUUUGGUUUCUUAGAUAAUAUAAAGAGCAGCAGUUUUGAAAAACUAAAGUCUCACACAUUAGGAGAUGGUAGGUUUACUGCACAUAGAACUAUAAUUCUCCUCGCUCUGUUUAUAUGUAUUAUUUUAAGUAGCUUUAAUUGAAUAAUCAUGUUAGUUUUUCACAGAACACUUACCACAUUAAGUGCUACAAUGGACAGGGCUCGGGAAACGGAUCAAGGAACUUGUCACUAUUACAGGUUUGAGGUGCCUUGCUAGCUUCUCAUAAGUGCAUCCCUCUGGCAUUUUUCAUUAACUCAGUCUCUCUGCACAGAAGCAUGCCAUCACGUUCUGUCAUUUGUAGACAGUGUUUAUAAGCUGGAACUCAUUAUUUAGCACCAGUUUGCUCUGUGACAGUAGCUAAGCUAAUUCAAUGGCAGCUCUCUCAAAGUUAAGCCUGACUCUCCCAGAGACAGGU